GGAUGGGCCCGCGGCCUGUUAGCUUGUUGGCGGGGUAACGGCCCACCAAGGCGAUUAUGGGUAGCCGGGUUGAGAGACCGACCGGCCAGAUUGGGACUGAGACACGGCCCAGACUCCUACGGGAGGCAGCAGUGGGGAAUCUUGCACAAUGGGCGAAAGCCUGAUGCAGCGACGCCGCGUGCGGGACGAAGGCCUUCGGGUUGUAAACCGCUUUCAGCAGGGACGAGGCCGCAAGGUGACGGUACCUGCAGAAGAAGCCCCGGCUAACUACGUGCCAGCAGCCGCGGUAAUACGUAGGGGGCGAGCGUUACCCGGAUUCAUUGGGCGUAAAGCGCGCGUAGGCGGCCUGCUAGGUCGGGACUCAAAUCCGGGGGCUCAACCCCCGCCCGGUCCCGAUACCGACAGGCUUGAGUCUGGUAGGGGAAGGCGGAAUUCCAAGUGUAGCGGUGGAAUGCGCAGAUAUUUGGAAGAACACCGGUGGCGAAGGCGGCCUUCUGGGCCACGACUGACGCUGAGGCGCGAAAGCUAGGGGAGCGAACAGGAUUAGAUACCCUGGUAGUCCUAGCCGUAAACGAUGGACACUAGGUGUGGGGGGAUGUGCCCUCCGUGCCGCAGCCAACGCAUUAAGUGUCCCGCCUGGGGAGU
rnacentral:rRNA from 1 species